rnacentral:sRNA from 1 species
UGAACAGUCUGCUAGUCGGGUGUUGGUA